AUGAAAACCUAGAUUUUGGUUUCACUUCCCCGGUGUUGGAUUUGAUUUCGUUCUCGAUUUCGGGGGUUAAUUUCGAUAUGUGUCUUGAUUUCGUUCGUCGGAUUCUCAUCUCAGAUGUGAUAGUCUUCAUCUCCAUUUCAAUCUUCUUCUGCUUAACCUCCGGAUUAUUCAAUCCUGUGAAACCAGUCGUUGGAGCUGCGGAUCGGAGAUUUUAGAAAGUACUGGCAAACCCGAUCACUGUUAUAAUUUAUCGCGAAAUAUGAAGCUAAAUGGCGUAUGCGACAAAAUAAGCAAUGCUACUGCUUACGACACCAAAAUGGGAGCUUAAUUAUUGGAUGUGUGAGCUGCCAGGUAGCUCAUGUGAGAUUAGGAGCUGAAUGUUUAAAGUAUUUGAGUGGACGUGGGCUUCUCACAACCACAAUUCUGUGUGAUCUCUAUUGGCUGAGAGAAGACGAUGAGACAAGGAGUGGUGCUGGUGAUUCUCGGCGUUGGAAGUCAGUUAGAAAGCUUUGGUUGGAAUCGAGUUUUAUGAAGAAGAGUACAGGCAGUGGUGGUCUCCGUAGUGCCUAAUGACAGCAACGAAAGAACAUGAUUGGAGUUGGUACAGUGGUGUUUGUGUACAGGGAGUUGGAAAGGAUUUUCACGGGUCUUUGGCAGCAAGCUGAUGAGUCGAUGGAGCAAAGCAGUUACUGUCGAGUAGAGAUGUGAACGAAGACUAUUUCUAAGUGGUACUGUGGUUCAUACUUCCAAGAGUUUGAACUUGAAUUGUGGAGUUCAGGUUGAGCUGUGUCUGCCGGUGAAAGAAUGGCAACAGAUGGUCUGAAUUUUCUGUGAAAGAUGGCAGCGAGACAACAAGCUGCUGACACCGGUGGAGGACGAUGCUGUGGACUGAAUACGGCAGCGACAAGCCAUGAUAACUGGUGGAUUAACUUGGACUGAGAUCUGAUCGAAAUGGAGGUUGACUGUGAUGAGAAUAUUGGGUAAGGAUCGAAUUAUGAAUGAAGGAACAAUUGCUGCUGCUGUUUAGGUUAUGAGGUGAACGGAAGUUGGUUGGUCAGACGAUGGAGUGAUGCCUAGACAGACGGAGAUAAAAUGACUGAUUGGCUGGUGUUUACAUGGACUGUUGGUUUGUUGGUCGAGCUGAUUGAAUCGGUGGCAAUAGUUAGAGAGGGCCGGAGUAGAUGCUGAGGAAGGAUGUGGACUGAAGAUGAAAACAGGCUUGGCAUCUAACUGGCGAUACUAUAUAGGAAUUGGUGUAUAGAAGGACAGAGAUUAGUUCUGCGAUCAAUGAGUUGGGGUUGCCGUGGUUGAAUGGAACUGCAGUUAGAGUUCACUAUUUCUGUCCGGAGUUGGAGAUGUUCAGUACUUUGGCUCGAGUCUGGAAGACGCGGAUGGUGAAGAUGGAUUGCAGCGUGUGGAAUUUGGGGUCUCUGAAUAUCGAGUGUAAUGUGGAGAUGUUGGACCAUGAUGGACUGGGCCUAGGUAAUUCUACUAGGUCUUAGUCGGACUUCUUUGCAGCACCAAAUUAUAAAGGAAUGAGAAGCAACAGAAAGGAGAGAGGCCGACACCGGAACAGGCUGCGGCUGUAGCCGAAUACAGAGAAUAGGGUUUUCUUUUUUGGUUUUGGUGGUUGUGGAUAGGAGGCAUUGAGCAAGACUGCGGAGCAUAGCAAAGAGAAGAGAAGACGACGACGAUCCUUUGGGUUUAAUCUCUCUAUCUUGUCUUAUUUGUUUUAUUUCGGUUUUUCAAAAAUCCUUAAUCAUGUCUUGCUAGAUUUUUAUGUAAUUAGGGUUAUGGUGGAAACUAUUUGGGGUAUUAGGCUAUUUGAUUUGAAUAUUUGAGCAAAGACCAUUAUGAUUUGAAUAGAUUGAUUUCCGAAUAUUGGUUAUUGAUUUAUUGAAAAAAUAAGUUGUUGUUCCA